UAAGAUUCACGCCGCAUGUGUAUCAUCUCACGUGAAAAAUACACAUAACCGAAGAGAAUAUGCGUGUAUAAAUAUACUAGUGCUGACCGAAAACCCCAAACUGCCCUCUCUCUCUCUGAUGGAACACAGUUCCUAUAGUUAUUCUGUAUUAGACAUAAUAGCAGUAAACUCUCAUUUGUAUUGUGCAAUGGGCUUAGCCUAAACUUGUAGUAGGAAUCGUAAGAGCCCAUUCCACCCAUGUAGGUAGGUAGUUAUCAUAUGAAGUUAUUUCCCUUAAUUAUAAGAGAUUAACUCCGUAUAUAAAUCUGUGAACUGAUAUAGAUUGGUUAUGGAUGAAUGAAUAUGUUUAUGGUUUAGUUUAUCUCUUUAGAUUUCUUGUAGUUUUUCCCUCUUCUAUUUCGAUAUAUGGAUUCUGAUCCUAACAACUGGUAUCAGAGCCCAAAUCUGGGCAUGUAUGGCAGUGCUAUCUUCUGCGAUUGUUUGUCGUAGUUCUUCCAACAGAGUCUCUUUUCAUCUUCAAUACCCAUUUCAAACGAAGACUAAAUUUUCACAGCCAUAUCAUUACCCACCACCACAACCUAACCAUUCUGCCACCAUCAUCAAUGGCCAUUUGCUUCCGCCUUACUUGCAACCCAAUUUUCUUUCUGUUCAGUACCAUUCGCCACACCCGAAUUUCUAUUCCAUAUAUCACACACCUACUUUCAUCGAUGACUUCACACUUCCACCCCAAUUUCCCAACCUAAUGAAUACGUCCAAUUCGUUCAGUUAAGCCAUGUUUCAAAUUCCAACAUCAACCUUUAAAUCAUCUUCAGUCACUAGUUAUGUUCCCCAACUCCAACUUCCCAACAAAAAAGCUUCAAAUCUCAAUCUCUCUAUGGUUCGUACCAAACAAACCACUCGCAAUCCGACCUUGAUCAUUAGAGGAGUGAAGAAGCAUUGUAGACUUAGCCACGAACUGUCGGACUCCAUAAGUUCCACAAACUCCCACUUCAUCAAUUGGCGGAGGAGGCAUUCAACUUCAUUCACAAUGAUUCAGACAACGUUGAGAAGAAAGACUUGGAGUUCUUAGAUGGUAUAAUCAAGCCAAUUACGACCUCCAACGACGACGAUGCCUUUGUUGAACCGAGAGCAUCGACGAAGAUGAGAUGAUUGUACCGCCCGCGUCGGCGUGGUUCAAUAUCGAGGAUUUCAAUUCGACUGGUGAUCACGUAGAAGGUGUUGAGAAUUACCAGAACCCAAGUCAAGAUAAGUAUUCAUUGAUAUUUGCUUGGGAAAACGAACCAUUACUUUUUCAUUUGCUUGAUGUCCUACGGUCAACCACAUCAUCUCAAGUUACUCAUGAUCUCAAUUAUGAAUUCCCAAAAAGUAUGAUUAGUUCUGCUCACAAGAUUCGUUUUACUGGUAUGGUUUCUUAGCAUUGUUUUUGGUUAUUAUUGUAUGGUGAUGGAGCAAAAUUUGUAUCACCAUUUCAUAUCAAUGAAGGAUUCAUCUUUAGAAUUAUACCAUAAUGUCACUAAUCGAUUUUUCGUUUUCAGCGGCAACCAUGGACAGCUUGCUACUUAAGGGGGCGACAAUUGAUGGAACACAGUUCCUAUAGUUACUCUGUAUUAGACAUAAUAACAGUAAACUCUCCUUUGUAUUGUGCAAUGGGCUUAGCCCAGACUUGUAGGUAGGUAGUUAUCAUAUGAAGUUAUUUCCCUUAAUUGUAGGAGAUUAACUUCGUAUAUAAAUCUGUGAACUGAUAUAGAUUCGUUAUGGAUGAAUGAAUAUGUUUAUGGUUUAGUUUAUCUCUUUAGAUUUCUUGUAAUGUUUCCUCUUCUAUUUUGAUAUAUGGAUUCUUAUCCUAACACACUCUCUCUCUCCAAUUCCCAAUUCCCACCCCACUUCUAGGGUUUCUUCAUUUGGUUUCCUAUUUUUAAUUUUCCUCCUCUUGUUCCACCUAAACCUGAAUCUAAGGGCUCUGGUCCAAUCAGGCACAUAAAGCACCAAACCCAGGUUGAUUACACAGCCUCUGUCGUCCGAUCCCAUUGCACUCCCAUCACCACCAGGCUCCUUCGGCGCCGACUACACCACUAUUAAACAACCAAGUAGGCUCUUCAUGCUCCAAUCUAGAAUAACAAGACUGCUUCCCCACGUUCAGACCAUCUCGGCGCUGCCCUCUCCCUUAUGUAUCUCCAAACGCCUAGAAUAUAAUUAUCGUCACCUCACAACCAUUCCUUCGGCUAAGCCCCUCACACUCGAACGAGAGGUCCAAUAUGGCCCGUCCGACAGCGCCACUGCGAGGCCAUGUUGUCAGACAAGGCAUAUGCGCACUUUGACGAGAAANNNNN
rnacentral:lncRNA from 1 species